rnacentral:rRNA from 1 species
AGUGAACGCUGGCGGCGUGCCUAAUACAUGCAAGUCGAACGGAGUGGCGCCCGGAUGAGUAAUGUAUAGCUAAUCUGACCUACACUAGAGGACAACAGUUGGCAACGACUGCUAAUACUCUAUAGUGUAGGAUGAGGCUAUAUUGUAUCAGCUAGUUGGUGAGGUAAUGGCUCACCAAGGCUAUGACGCAUAACUGGUCUGAGAGGAUGAUCAGUCAAACUGGAACUGAGACACGGUACAGACUCCGACGGGAGGCAGCAGUAGGGAAGAUUGCUCAAUGGGGGAAACCCGGAAGCGGCUACGCCGCGUGGAGGAUGAAACGUUUCGGAGCGUAAACUCCGUUUGUUAUGGAAGCGGUACCUAACGAAUAAGCACCGGCUAACUCCGUGCCAGCCGCCGCGGUAAUAC